rnacentral:rRNA from 1 species
GAUGAACGCUGGCGGUCUGCUUAACACAUGCAAGUCGAACGGAAUCCUUCGGGAUUUAGUGGCGGACGGGUGAGUAACACGUGAGAAUCUGCACUCAGGAUGGGGACAACAGCGGGAAACUGCUGCUAAUACCCAAUGUGCCGAAAGGUAAAAGAUUUAUCGCCUGAGAAUGAGCUCGCGGCCGAUUAGUUAGUUGGUGGGGUAAUGGCCUACCAAGACGGCGAUCGGUAGCUGGUCUGAGAGGAUGAGCAGCCACACUGGGACUGAGACACGGCCCAGACUCCUACGGGAGGCAGCAGUGGGGAAUUUUCCGCAAUGGGCGCAAGCCUGACGGAGCAAGACCGCGUGGGGGAGGAAGGCUCUUGGGUUGUAAACCCCUUUUCUCAAGGAAGAACAAAAUGACGGUACUUGAGGAAUCAGCCUCGGCUAACUCCGUGCCAGCAGCCACCGUAAUAC